GGACCUUCGGGCCUCUCGCGUCAGGAUAUGCCCAGGUGGGAUUAGCUAGUUGGUGAGGUAAGGGCUCACCAAGGCGACGAUCCCUAGCUGGUCUGAGAGGAUGAUCAGCCACACUGGAACUGAGACACGGUCCAGACUCCUACGGGAGGCAGCAGUGGGGAAUAUUGCACAAUGGGCGCAAGCCUGAUGCAGCCAUGCCGCGUGUGUGAAGAAGGCCUUCGGGUUGUAAAGCACUUUCAGUCGUGAGGAAGGUGGUAGUGUUAAUAGCACUAUCAUUUGACGUUAGCGACAGAAGAAGCACCGGCUAACUCCGUGCCAGCAGCCGCGGUAAUACGGAGGGUGCGAGCGUUAAUCGGAAUUACUGGGCGUAAAGCGCAUGCAGGUGGUUUGUUAAGUCAGAUGUGAAAGCCCGGGGCUCAACCUCGGAACUGCAUUUGAAACUGGCAGACUAGAGUACUGUAGAGGGGGGUAGAAUUUCAGGUGUAGCGGUGAAAUGCGUAGAGAUCUGAAGGAAUACCGGUGGCGAAGGCGGCCCCCUGGACAGAUACUGACACUCAGAUGCGAAAGCGUGGGGAGCAAACAGGAUUAGAUACCCUGGUAGUCCACGCUGUAAACGAUGUCUACUUGGAGGUUGUGGCCUUGAGCCGUGGCUUUCGGAGCUAACGCGUUAAGUAGACCGCCUGGGGAGUACGGUCGCAAGAUUAAAACUCAAAUGAAUUGACGGGGGCCCGCACAAGCGGUGGAGCAUGUGGUUUAAUUCGAUGCAACGCGAAGAACCUUACCUACUCUUGACAUCCAGAGAAUCUAGCGGAGACGCUGGAGUGCCUUCGGGAACUCUGAGACAGGUGCUGCAUGGCUGUCGUCAGCUCGUGUUGUGAAAUGUUGGGUUAAGUCCCGCAACGAGCGCAACCCUUAUCCUUGUUUGCCAGCGAGUAAUGUCGGGAACUCCAGGGAGACUGCCGGUGAUAAACCGGAGGAAGGUGGGGACGACGUCAAGUCAUCAUGGCCCUUACGAGUAGGGCUACACACGUGCUACAAUGGCGCAUACAGAGGGCGGCCAACUUGCGAAAGUGAGCGAAUCCCAAAAAGUGCGUCGUAGUCCGGAUUGGAGUCUGCAACUCGACUCCAUGAAGUCGGAAUCGCUAGUAAUCGUGGAUCAGAAUGCCACGGUGAAUACGUUCCCGGGCCUUGUACACACCGCCCGUCACACCAUGGGAGUGGGCUGCAAAAGAAGUGGGUAGUUUAACCUUCGGGAGGACGCUCACCACUUUGUGGUUCAUGACUGGGGUGAAGUCGUAACAAGGUAGCGCUAGGGGAACCUGGCGCUGGAUCACCUCCUUA
rnacentral:rRNA from 1 species